rnacentral:rRNA from 1 species
GCAUAUCAAUAAGCGGAGGAAAAGAAAAUAACAAUGAUUCCCCUAGUAACUGCGAGUGAAGAGGGACAAGCUCAAAUUUUAAAUCUGUUAGGUUUACCUAACCGAGUUGUAAUUUGAAGAGGCGUUUUCUGUGUUUCUGAUCAGCCCAAGUCCUUUGGGAUAGGGCAUCAUGGAGGGUGAGAAUCCCGUUCGGUUGAUAUCAGAUUCGCUUUACGAUACGUCAUCUAAGAGUCAAGUUGUUUGGGAUUGCAGCUUAAAAUGGGAGGUAAAUUUCUCCUAAGGCUAAAUAACGGCGAGAGACCGAUAGCGAACAAGUACCGUGAGGGAAAGAUGAAAAGAACUUUGAAAAGAGAGUUAAACAGUACGUGAAAUUGUUGAAAGGGAAACGAUUGAAGCCAGUCGUACCUUCGGGUAAUCAGCCUUUCGAGUGCGAUUCUGUGGAGCGUGAGGAGUUAAACGCCUUCAUGACUGCAUAUUCGUGCACUUUGGGUGUACUUGCCCGUGUGGUAGGUUAACAUCAAUUUCGGAUGUCAUAAAAUGGCUGGAGGAAUGUAGCUUCGGUCUCGUACUGAAGUGUUAUAGCCUCUGGUAGAUGUGAUGACCGGGAUUGAGGAUUGCAACGAAUACCUUUUGGGCUAUCCGUCUGAUCUCUGAAAGUUGCUUANGUGCCGAAAGCAUGCUUACGGUUAUUUAAGUUGACGGUCAAAAGGUUAGAACGUGAUUAUAUUCGUUAAGGAUGUUGACGUA